UUGAGCUCGGAUCAGGUAGGGAUACCCGCUGAACUUAAACAUAUCA
rnacentral:rRNA from 1 species